rnacentral:rRNA from 1 species
UACGUAGGGGGCAAGCGUUGUCCGGAUUCAUUGGGCGUAAAGAGCGUGUAGGCGGCCAGGUAGGUCGGUUGUGAAAACUGGAGGCUCAACCUUCAGAGGUCGACCGAAACCAUCUGGCUAGAGUCCGGGAGAGGAGAGUGGAAUUCCUGGUGUAGCGGUGAAAUGCGCAGAUAUCAGGAAGAACACCCGUGGCGAAGGCAGCUCGCUGGGACGGUACUGACGCUAAGGCGCGAAAGCGUGGGGAGCGAACAGG